UUCGUGCCGACUCGCCGCUGAUCAAACCCCUCUCCUCCGACCCCGCAUUACCAAUCCCAUCGCCAGCAUACAAACAGACCUUCUCCCACCACUUGCUAACUACUUGUUGAUCUUCCAGGAACGAAUAGACGAUUCGUCGAACCUCGUGCUUUUACUUUUUCUUAUUUUUUGCUCCAUUUCCAUUUGUAUACAUAGAUUUAUUGAAAAUGCGAUUUAACGUAAUACUCGUGACACGAAAUGUAAGUAUCUUGGGUAUAGUAAAAUGUUAGAAAUUCAUAAUUGUAUUCGCUGUACAUUUACGUUGAAGAAAUUAGUGGAGCUCACUAUGGUAUUCUAGUGUAUUAUUAUUUCUUCCGUUCCCUUUGUGUGCUUCUUUAUCUUUUAUUUUAUUUACCUUUUGUUCUGUUUAAUUGCACUUUGCGCUUGACCGAAAUGGAACAACUCUUUGAAAUACAUUUCUGGAAAUACAGCAUUGCAUCAUUCCUAAAUGAAUCGUCAGGUUGUUAUACCUAGAUGAGAUAAUACAAUUACUCGAUAAUUACCAAAUUUUUCGAAGAAAUUCGGCGCGUCGUAUUUGUACAGUUAUCUACCUGUUGCCGCGAACGUGGCCAUCGAACGCUAUGUGGUGUAUGACGGAUAGAAAAAGGCGAUAAAAAUCAAUGAAAAGCGAAGAGCGUUGAAUCGAAUCGAAUCGAUGUAAGUAAAUAUCGAUAUUGAUUGUCAGAUUCUCAAGCACGAAGUACUUCGUAGGAAAUAUUGUUCCAGAGAAUCUCAAAUAACUUCAGUUCACUAAUCGUAAGUUUAACCCUAACCUAAUCAUAUUUUUCUAUCGUUGGGAAACAUUUCAAAUUUAAGGAAAACGUAAAAGAAUUGUUAUUGUCUGAUAUGCAUGACUUUUUAUUUGACUUUUACGCUGAAGAUAUUCUUAAAAUACUACAAAUUUCUUUUUGAGCUGUGUAUAAAGUGAGGUUGGGACAUGAAAAAAUCAAGAACUGCGGCAAAGUUAAUCUAUUAAAGACGAAACAGUGAAAAUACGAAAAUACGACAUAAUUAUAAAUGAAAAACAAGAUACAAGUCGAACGUACGAAAGAAUUUCAAUGAUUUGAGAAAAGAUAGUUAGUCAUAAUAUUCAAAUUUUUUGAAAUUGUGGAAUCAAUGUGAGAGAAGAAAUAAGAACAGAAAGGAUAUUAGAGAUAUCUUUAGGGUUUCCUUGCAUAAUCACAAUCUAUUAAAGAGUAGUCAAAAGUAAUAACGCAAAUUGGCACGAAAAAAGUUGUAAAUGAAAUAUAGCUUUACAAGUGUCCACGCUUCGGUGUCUGAUUUUAAACUCCUCGUGUCACAUCCACUGCCAUAUUCUUAUACUCUUGCUACAAAGGGAUGCAGUUUUAAAAUUGUUGUCAACCAACGCCAUGUUAAGCGCAUAAAUACA